AAAAUUUAAAUUUAAAAUACUAAAAUAGUAAAUAAUAUUUUUAUAUUGAAACUUAAAUAAUUUGGCGGUAUUUUAGUUCAUUUAGAGGAAUCUGUUUAAUAAUUGAUAUUCCACGAAUAAAUUUACUUAAUUUAUAAUUUUGUAUAUCGUUGUUAUAAAAAUAUUUUUUAAUAAGAUUAAUAUUUGAAAAUUAAAAUAUAAAUUUAAAUCAGAUCAAGAUGCAGAUUAUAAUUAAGAAUAUAAUGGAUUACAAUAAAUUUAUUUAAAUGAAUUUUAAUUUUUAAUAGUUAAUUGAAGGUGGAUUUAAAUGUAAUUUUAUUUAAUUUAAUAAAGUGAUUAAUAAUUAAAAUAUGU
rnacentral:rRNA from 1 species